rnacentral:rRNA from 1 species
UACGUAGGGUGCGAGCGUUUGUCCGGAAUUAUUGGGCGUAAAGAGCUCGUAGGCGGUGUGUCGCGUCGGCCGUGAAAACCUGCAGCUUAACUGUGGGCUUGCGGUCGAUACGGGCAUCACUGGAGUUCGGCAGGGGAGACUGGAAUUCCUGGUGUAGCGGUGAAAUGCGCAGAUAUCAGGGAGGGAACACCGGGUGGGCGAAG